rnacentral:rRNA from 1 species
CGUACGUUAGCGGCGGACGGGUGGAGUAACACGUGGGUAACCGUACCUAUAAGACUGGGAGUAACUUCUGGAAACCGGAGCUAAUACCGGAUAAUAUUUCGAACCGCAUGGUUCGAUAGUGAAAGGUGGUUUUGCUAUCACUUAUAGAUGGACCCGCGCCGUAUUAGCUAGUUGGUAAGGUAACGGCUUACCAAGGCGACGAUACGUAGCCGACCUGAGAGGGUGAUCGGCCACACUGGAACUGAGACACGGUCCAGACUCCUACGGGAGGCAGCAGCA